rnacentral:rRNA from 1 species
UACGUAGGGUGCAAGCGUUAAUCGGAAUUACUGGGCGUAAAGCGUGCGCAGGCGGUUGUGUAAGUCUGUCGUGAAAUCCCCGGGCCCAACCUGGGAAUUGCGAUGGAGACUGCACGGCUAGAGUGUGUCAGAGGGGGGUAGAAUUCCACGUGUAGCAGUGAAAUGCGUAGAUAUGUGGAGGAACACCGAUGGCGAAGGCAGCCCCCUGGGAUAACACUGACGCUCAUGCACGAAAGCGUGGGGAGCAAACAGG